UUGGAAAAUAGCAAAUAACUACAUAACUUUUUAAGGUGAAGUUCGCCAAUCCUACUGCGAGAGGCAGCAAUAACGUGUGGUUUACAUCCGCAUUGCCGAGAAGAAGAAGGGAGAGUUUGCUUAUCUACGAGUCCUGUCAGUAUCCAUUGUCUUAUUUUUCUGCCGUCUCAGCAUUUUAUGAUGUCAACGGUCUGUGAUCGAUAACCUUCAUCAUGGACAUAAAACAACGGGCCAUUGACAAUCUGAAGGGUCAAGUCGGAAGCGAGUCCUCAGAACCACCUGUACGUCCCAAAGCGUCAGUGUUGAUCCCGCUGUUCAUAAAAAAUGGAGAGUUGUAUGUGUUAUUGACCCUUCGUUCUGAACAGUUGAGGACCAAUGCUGGUGAGGUGUGUUUCCCAGGAGGGAAGAGCGACCCUCAGGAUACAGACGAGAUCCACACAGCCUUGAGAGAGGCCGAGGAGGAGAUAGGCAUACCACCUGAUCAGGUGGAGGUAGUCUGCAGACUACUCGAUCCUAUAGUUAGCAAGGGAGGACUCCUGGUCACUGCGGUCGUGGGAUUCAUAGAUGGGUCAUUUCUUCCACGUCCCAACCCGGCCGAGGUCAGUGAGGUGUUCGCAGUCCCCCUGAACCUGUUCGUCCAGAAGAAGGACCACUCGAUGUUUGGCGCUCCUGGGAUGUUUCUUCACAGUUUCCAGUUUCUUGACUCGGACUCAGGUCGUCAGUAUCGGAUCUAUGGGUUGACGGCCGCUUUUGCGAUAAUAGUUGCUGUUCUUGCUCUCGGUAAAUGGCCGGAGUUUGACAUUGAUCUUGGAAGCGGAUCAUUUGCAGACCGUAUAAAUAGCAGAAUAAAUAGAACAAUGAGUAAAUUAUAAGAUCCUUGAUGGCUGUAAUGGUGCUAAAAGACCGUAUUUAGGCCUCAUUUUAUAUCAUUAUUGUUAAUGUUUGUCUGUAAAGCUGUUGGAUCUUUUUCUCAUGUCUGAGGUAUUACUAAGCUUGCCUACCAAAAGCAAAUUCCACUGUCCUUUGUACUUUGGUCAUUAAAGUAAAUGACUAUUUUAUAUAUAUAUCCAGUAAUAUGCAUAUGUUUGCUUGAAUACAAAGUGAUCUACCUGGCUACCACAUAGGACCUACCUAUUGCAAAUAUUCCCCAGCCCAGAUAUUAUAAAACACCAGACAGUUGAAAUCUGUAUUCAGUCAUUUAAUGUAGCAGCGAGAUUACAGAUAUAAACAGAAGGGUAUACAAACGACCAGACAAAGGCAAAUAACAUGUUAAUUAGGAUGUUUUAUAACACUAAGGUUGACCUUUACUCCUAUUGCUGGGCCGGAAGGCUAGAUACGAAAGCUGAAACUACACGGAACGGGUACGAUAUAUUUGACUGUUA